AACGUAGGAGGCAAGCGUUAUCCGGAUUUACUGGGCGUAAAGGGCGUGCAGGUGGUCGUGUAAGUGGUGCGUGAAAGCGCCUGGCUCAACCGGGCGAGGCCGUGCCAAACUGCGCGACUAGAAACAGACAGAGGCAAGUGGAAUUCCGGGUGUAGUGGUGAAAUGCGUAGAGAUCCGGAGGAACUCCUGUGGCGAAGGCGACUUGCUGGGUCUGGUUUGACACUCAGACGCGAAAGCAUGGGGAGCGAACGGG
rnacentral:rRNA from 1 species